AAGUCGAGCGAACAGACGAGGAGCUUGCUCCUCUGACGUUAGCGGCGGACGGGUGAGUAACACGUGGAUAACCUACCUAUAAGACUGGGAUAACUUCGGGAAACCGGAGCUAAUGCCGGAUAAUAUAUUGAACCGCAUGGUUCAAUAGUGAAAGACGGUUUUGCUGUCACUUAUAGAUGGAUCCGCGCCGCAUUAGCUAGCUGGUAAGGUAACGGCUUACCAAGGCAACGAUGCGUAGCCGACCUGAGAGGGUGAUCGGCCACACUGGAACUGAGACACGGUCCAGACUCCUACGGGAGGCAGCAGUAGGGAAUCUUCCGCAAUGGGCGAAAGCCUGACGGAGCAACGCCGCGUGAGUGAUGAAGGUCUUCGGAUCGUAAAACUCUGUUAUUAGGGAAGAACAAAUGCGUAAGUAACUAUGCACGUCUUGACGGUACCUAAUCAGAAAGCCACGGCUAACUACGUGCCGGCAGCCGCGGUAAUACGUAGGUGGCAAGCGUUAUCCGGAAUUAUUGGGCGUAAAGCGCGCGUAGGCGGUUUUUUAAGUCUGAUGUGAAAGCCCACGGCUCAACCGUGGAGGGUCAUUGGAAACUGGAAAACUUGAGUGCAGAAGAGGAAAGUGGAAUUCCAUGUGUAGCGGUGAAAUGCGCAGAGAUAUGGAGGAACACCAGUGGCGAAGGCGAC
rnacentral:rRNA from 1 species